GACAUCAACCGAGAUUCCGCUAGUAGUGGCGAGCGAACGCGGAGGAGGCCAAACCAGAGGUCAUAGAUCUCUGGGGUAAGGACAGUCAAUUAGAAAGGGAAGCUAGCCGAACGGCAUGGGAAGGCCGUCCACAGAGGGUGAGAGACCCGUAGGCGAAAGCGGAACGGACGAGACUGUAUCCAGAGUACCGCCGGACACGUGAAACCCGGUGGGAACAAGGGAGGACCACCUUCCAAGCCUAAAUACUACCUGAUGACCGAUAGUGGAGCAGUACCGUGAGGGAAAGGUGAAAAGUACCCCGAGAGGGGAGUGAAAGAGAACCUGAAACCUUGUGCUUACAAGCACUCAGAGCGCGUUAAAGCGUGAUGAGGUACCUUUUGUAGAAUGGUCCGGCGAGUUAUAGUAACGAGCAAGGUUAAGCUAUUCAGUAGCGGAGCCGAAGGGAAACCGAGUCUUAAUAGGGCGUUAAGUUCGUUGCCAUAGACCUGAAACCGGGUGACCUAUCCAUGUCCAGGCUGAAGAUCAGGUAAAACUGAUUGGAGGGCCGAACACACGUUCGUUGCAAUGACCGGUGAUGAGGUGUGGAUAGCGGAGAAAUUCCAAUCGAACCCGGAGAUAGCUGGUUCUCCCCGAAAUAGCUUUAGGGCUAGCGUCGCAGCGAGAGAGCCGUGAAGGUAGAGCACUGAAUAUGCGAUGGCCGCAUCCCGCGGUACUGAGCAUAAUCAAACUCCGAAUGUCACGGUGUCAUCUGCGGCAGUCAGACGGCGAGUGAUAAGGUCCGUCGUCAAGAGGGAAACAGCCCAGACCAUCAGCUAAGGUCCCAAAGUGCAUGCUAAGUGGAAAAGGAAGUGGAGACGUGCAGACAACUAGGAGGUUGGCUCAGAAGCAGCCAUCCUUCAAAGAGUGCGUAACAGCUCACUAGUCGAAUGACUCUGCGCCGAUAAUUUACCGGGGCUAAGCAUGACACCGAAGCUAUGGACAGGAAUGUGGUAGGGGAGCAUUGCAUGCAGCGGAGAAGCAUGACCGAGAGGGCAUGUGGAGCGCAUGGAAGAGAGAAUGCCGGCGUGAGUAGCGGCACGUGGGUGAGAAUCCCACGCACCGAUGGCCCAAGGUCUCCAGAGGAAGGCUCGUCCUCUCUGGGAUAGUCGGGACCUAAGGCGAGGCCGAAAGGCGUAGCCGAUGGACGACGGGUGGAUAUUCCCGUACCCGAUGUGUGGCGAUGGAGUGACGGAGAAGGCUCAGGCAACCAGCUGCUGGAAUAGCUGGGGCAAGCGAGAUACCUGCGCACCAGGGAAAUCCGGUGCGCAUAAGGGGAAGGCGCGAUGCAUACGGAAAGCUUCGGCAAGUACGGAAAAGCUGAGAGCAGGCUUCCAGGAAAAGCUUCUAGCACAACACACAUCGGCCCGUACCGAAAAUGGACACACAUGGGCAAGGAGAGAAUCCUGAGGUGAGCGAGAGAACUAUAGCUAAGGAACUCUGCAAAAUGACCCCGUAACCUAGGGAGAAGGGGUGCUCCAGAAAUGGAGCCGCAGUAAAACGGCCCAAGCGACUGUUUACCAAAAACACAGCUCUCUGCGAAGGCGCAAGCCGAAGUAUAGGGGGUGACGCCUGCCCGGUGCUGGAAGGUCAAGGGGAGCUGUCAGCGCAAGCGAAGCAGCGAGCCGAAGCCCCAGUAAACGGCGGCCGUAACUAUAACGGUCCUAAGGUAGCGAAAUUCCUUGUCGGGCAAGUUCCGACCCGCACGAAAGGCGUAACGAUUUGGGCGCUGUCUCAGCUGUAGACUCGGUGAAGUCUUAGUACCUGUGAAGAUGCAGGUUGCCCGCGACUAGACGGAAAGACCCCAUGGAGCUUCACUGCAGGUUGACAUUGGGCUUGGAUGCAUGAUGUACAGGAUAGGUGGGAGGCUGUGAGCCGUGCGCGCCAGCGUACGGGGAGCCGCUGUUGGGAUACCACCCUUCAUGCAUCUAGGUCCUAACCGGAGGCAACGGGCCACGGGACAGUGUCAGUCGGGCAGUUUGACUGGGGCGGUCGCCUCCCAAAGAGUAACGGAGGCGCCCAAAGAUACCCUCAGCAUGGAUGGAAACCAUGCAUAGAGUGCAAAGGCAUAAGGGUGUCUGACUGCGAGACAUACAGGUCGAGCAGGGACGAAAGUCGGGCUUAGUGAUCCGGCGGAUCCGAAUGGAAGGGCCGUCGCUCAACGGAUAAAAGCUACCCUGGGGAUAACAGGCUGAUCUCCCCCAA
rnacentral:rRNA from 1 species